rnacentral:tRNA from 1 species
UCAUUGGUAGCCCAGUGGUAGAAUUCCUGACUUCUAUGCUGGAGACCUGGGUUCAAUUACCAGCCAAUGUA